ensembl:snRNA U6 U6 spliceosomal RNA
GUACUUGCUUUGGCAGCACAUAUACUGAAACUGGAUAGAUACAGAGAUUAGCAUGGACCCUGUGCAAGGAUGAAUGCAAAUAUUUGAAGCAUUCCAUAUUUAA